UGGUCAAGUUACUGAGGGCACACGGGGGAUGCCUUGGCGCUGGAAGUCGAUGAAGGACGUGGCAAGCUGCGAUAAGCCCAGAGGAGCCGCAAACAGGCGUUGAUUCUGGGAUCUCCGAAUGGGGCAACCCCCCACGGGUCAUGCCGUGGGAUCUGGCUCUGAAUGCAUAGGAGUCAGAGGACAACCCGGGGAAGUGAAACAUCUCAGUACCCGGAGGAAGAGAAAGCAACCGCGAUUCCCUGAGUAGUGGCGAGCGAAAGGGGACCAGCCCAAACCGCCGGAGCUCCGGCCCCGGCGGGGUUGUGGGACUCUCACCAAGGACCGAAGACGCGAGACGAAGCCCGCUGGAUAUGCGGCGCCACAGAAGGUGACAGCCCUGUAGUCGAAGCGCGAUCGGCCGAGAGAUGUUCCCGAGUAGGGCGGGGCACGAGAAACCCCGUCUGAAUCCGGGGGGACCACCCUCCAAGGCUAAACACUCUCCAGCGACCGAUAGUGAACCAGUACCGUGAGGGAAAGGUGAAAAGCAGCCCGAGAGGGCAGUGAAAGAGUACCUGAAACCGUGUGUCCACAAACAGUCGGAGCACCAUGGCCGGGCUUGCCCGGCAACGUGCGACGGCGUGCCUUUUGCAUAAUGAUCCGGCGAGUCACUGCUCAUUGGCAAGGUUAAGGGCCUCUGGCCCGGAGCCGCAGCGAAAGCGAGUCUGAACAGGGCGUUCAGUCAAUGGGCGUGGACCCGAAGCGGGGUGAUCUAGGCAUGGCCAGGCUGAAGUCGGGGUUACACCCGAUGGAGGGCCGAACCGGUAAACCUUAAAAAGUUUUCGGAUGAGCUGUGCCUAGGGGUGAAAGGCCAAUCAAACUCCGUGAUAGCUGGUUCUCCCCGAAAUGUUUUUAGGAACAGCCUCGGUCAUUUCGUCGUGGAGGUAGAGCACUGCCUGGACUAGGGGGCCUACAAGCUUACCGAACCCAUGCAAACUCCGAAUGCCACGACGUGACAGGCCGGGAGUGAGUCUGCGGGGGAUAAGCUCCGCAGUCGAGAGGGAAACAACCCAGACCGCCGGCCAAGGCCCCCAAGCGUGUGCUAAGUGCCAAAGGAUGUGGAGUUACACAGACAACCAGGAGGUUGGCUUAGAAGCAGCCAUUCCUUGAAAGAGUGCGUAACAGCUCACUGGUCGAGUAGCUCUGCGCCGAAAAUGAGCCGGGACUCAAGCACACCGCCGAAGCCGCGGAUCGUCCCGCCCCCGGGCGGGAUGGUGGUAGGGGAGCGUUCUGCGCGCCUCGAAGGUCAACCGCAAGGAUGGCUGGAGCGCGCUGAAGUGAGUAUGCCGGAAUCAGUAACGACAAGACGAGUGAAAAACUCGUCCGCCGCAAACCCAAGGUUUCCUGGGCAAUGGUAAUCAUCCCAGGGUGAGCCGGCCCCUAAGGCGAGGCCGAGAGGCGUAGCUGAUGGGAAACAGGGAAGAAAAGUCCUGUGCCACCUGAGAUGCGUCAUCACGAUGGGGUGACGCAGUGAGCAAGACCAAGCCAAGGCGACGGACAUGCCUGGCAGACCCGCGUAGGCCGGGGAGGAGGGAAAUCCCUUCCCCGCUGAGGCCGAGACGGGCUUCGAGGGCCCUGGUGCCCGAAGUGGUCCGACCUGCUGCCGAGAAACAGCCUCUAAGGAGUGUCUCAGGUGACCGUACCGGAAACCGACACAGGUGGGUGAGGAGAGCAUCCUCAGGCGCUCGGGAGAACCAGUGAGAAGGAACUCGGCAAAAUGGCCCCGUAACUUCGGAAGAAGGGGUGCCCCUGUCCGUGAUGGGCCCGCGCCCGGAGCGGAGGGGGGCCGCAGUGAAAUGGCUCAGGCGACUGUUUAACAAAAACACAGCACUCUGCCAAGCCGCAAGGCGACGUAUAGGGUGUGACACCUGCCCGGUGCUGGAAGGUUAAGAGGCGUGGUCAGGGCUGAAUAGCCCCAGUAAACGGCGGCCGUAACUAUAACGGUCCUAAGGUAGCGAAAUUCCUUGUCGGGUAAGUUCCGACCUGCACGAAUGGUGUAACGAUCUGAGCGCUGUCACCUCGCUGGACCCGGUGAAGUUGAGAGAUCGGUGAAGACGCCGAUUACCCGCAGCAAGACGGAAAGACCCCGUGCACCUUUACUAUAACCUGGCAUUGGAUCUUGGCAUGGCGUGUAGAGGAUAGGUGGGAGACGCUGAAGCAGAGGCGCCAGCCUCUGUGGAGUCAACCGUGGAAUACCACCCUCGCUGUGUUGUGACUCUAACCUGCAGCCGUGAAGCCGGCUGGGGAACAGUGCCAGGCGGGUAGUUUGACUGGGGCGGUCGCCUCCCAAAGUGUAACGGAGGCGUACAAAGGUUGGCUCAGCACGGUCGGCAAUCGUGCGAAGAGCGCAAGGGUAGAAGCCAGCCUGACUGAGAGACUCACAGGUCGAUCAGGCACGAAAGUGGGUCCUAGUGAUCCGGCGGUCCCGUGUGGAAGGGCCGUCGCUCAUCGGAUAAAAGGUACGCCGGGGAUAACAGGCUUAUCGCGUCCAAGAGUUCACAUCGACGACGCGGUUUGGCACCUCGAUGUCGGCUCACCGCAUCCUGGGGCUGUAGGCGGUCCCAAGGGUUUGUCUGUUCGCCAAUUAAAGCGGUACGUGAGCUGGGUUCAGAACGUCGUGAGACAGUUCGGUCCCUAUCUGCUGUGGGCGCAGGAGUCUUGAGCGGAUCUGCUCCUAGUACGAGAGGACCGGAGUGGACUGACCUCUGGCGUUCCGGUUGUGCUGCCAAGUGCAUUGCCGGGUAACCAGGUCGGGAUCCGAUAACCGCUGAAAGCAUCUAAGCGGGAAGCGGACCGCGAGAUAAGGACUCCCGGGGCUUCGGCCCCCCAAAGGCCCCUGCGAGACGAGCAGGUUGAUAGGCUGGAAGUGGAAGCACGGCAACGUGUGGAGCUGACCAGUACUAAUGGGCCGGGCGACUUGACCAC
rnacentral:rRNA from 1 species